UACGGAGGGGGCGAGCGUUAUUCGGAAUUAUUGGGCGUAAAGAGCGUGUAGGCGGUUUGGUAGGUCCGCUGUGAAAACUCGAGGCUCAACCUCGAGACGCCGGUGGAAACCAUCAGACUAGAGUCCGGAAGAGGAGAGUGGAAUUCCUGGUGUAGCGGUGAAAUGCGCAGAUAUCAGGAAGAACACCCGUGGCUAAGGCGGCUCUCUAGUACGGUACUGACGCUGAGACGCGAAAGCGUGGGGAGCGAACAGG
rnacentral:rRNA from 1 species